rnacentral:rRNA from 1 species
CCCUUAGAUGUCCGGGGCUGCACGCGCGCUACACUGAAGGAAUCAGCGUGCUAAAACCAUUGUCGAAAGGCAUUGGUAAACCCAUUAAAAUCCUACGUGAUUGGGAUCGGGAAUUGCAAUUAUUUCCCUUGAACGAGGAAUUCCCAGUAAGUGUGGGUCAUAAGCUCGCGUUGAUUACGUCCCUGCCCUUUGUACACACCGCCCGUCGCUGCCCGGGACUGAGCCGUUUCGAGAAAAGCGGGGACUGCUGCUGUCGGGGCUUUCGGGCCUUGGCUUCGGUGGAAACCGCUUUAAUCGCAGUGGCUUGAACCGGGCAAAANUCGUAGCA